UCCCUGGUGGCUCAGACGGUAAAGAAUCUGCCUGCAAUGCAGGAGACCCAGGUUCGAUUCUUGGGUGGGGGA
rnacentral:tRNA from 1 species